GAUGUCGUCCACUGGGGUUGGCGGCAACGACCAGUGAGGCGCGGAGUAAGCGAGAGUGCCCGCCGCGAUGGACGCCCUGCACUCCUCCUUCCUCUCCACCGCCGCCAUCCCCCUUCCCCACAAUCUCCACGCCGCCGCCAAGGUCCUUCCUUUGAGCCAUCACCUGCGCCGCACCUCCGCAGUUCUCAACAAGGAGCGCCCUCCCCCCGAGAGCAGCAGCGCUACCACUGUCCGCCCUUCUUCGCCUUCGCCCUCAUUGCCGCCCCCGGCCGGAAGGGUCCUCAGGAGGCCGAUCGAGGCGACGCCCACGCCGUCCCUGGCCAGUUCCCUCAGCAACGCCUUCGACGCCAUCAUCAACAAUUUCAUCGACCCCGCCGCCCACCGCCCCUCCGUCGACCCCCGCUACGUCCUCGCCGACAACUGGGCCCCCGUCGGCGAGCUGCCCCCGACGCCCUGCCCCAUCGUCAGGGGAAGAAUUCCCCCCGCCCUCCGCGGCGGCGCCUACAUCCGCAAUGGGCCGAACCCCCAGCACCUCCCCCGCGGGACGCACCACCUCUUCGACGGCGACGGCAUGCUUCACUCCCUCCUCCUCCCCGCCGAUGGCGACGGCAACGCCCCUGCCAUCCUGUGCAGCCGCUACGUCCAGACCUACAAGUACCUGGUCGAGAGGGAGGCCGGCGGGAACGUCCUCCCAAACGUCUUCUCGGGCUUCCACGGCGUCGGUGGCCUCGUCCGUGGCGCUGCUGUCGUCGCCCGCG
rnacentral:lncRNA from 1 species